UCCUCCUUCUCUAAUGGACUGCAAGUCAUGCUGUAGGAGCAAUUGUCUUUAAACUCUCUGCAACUUUGCAGUUCAAGAGGGCUCAAAGGAAGCCUCACACUGCUCUCCCUUGCUGAUGGAAAACAGGAAUGAAUAUUUAACUGGCAAUGAUGACGAAUGAAGAUUUCACAUUAGAGCGGGGUUCCUGGGACUGUCCCAUUCUCCUCUUCACCCACUGUGUUGCUCUCUCUGUGGGUCACCAUCAGAGAAGGGGAUACAACAAAGCCUGAGAAACCUCCCAUGUCUGAAUGUAAGGUGCACCUUGCCUGCCAGGUCCAUAGGUACCUAGCUGCAUGCCUGAAUGUUGGAUAGCUGUCCAGCAAGAGACUUCAUCUCCUCUUCACUGUGCCAUGAAUCCUGGCACCACUGUAGUAGGUAGAGAGGGGAGCAUGGGAGAAAGUUGAGCUGGUAGAGGAAAAUUAGGGAGUGGGAGAAGGGUUGUCUUUGCUUUCACUUUAGAUAUCUUAAUUGAGGAAAUACCAGACUGAAUUCAUGGACACGUCCUCAAGAGGGAGGGAGACAGAGAGAGGAAAAUAUUUGAGAAAAUGCAGUUUGACUUCCUGGAAGAUUAAAAAAAGUAUAUACAUCAAUUGA